AGUGAACGCUGGCGGUAGGCCUAACACAUGCAAGUCGAACGGCAGCACAGUAAGAGCUUGCUCUUACGGGUGGCGAGUGGCGGACGGGUGAGGAAUACAUCGGAAUCUACUUUUUCGUGGGGGAUAACGUAGGGAAACUUACGCUAAUACCGCAUACGACCUACGGGUGAAAGCAGGGGAUCUUCGGACCUUGCGCGAUUGAAUGAGCCGAUGUCGGAUUAGCUAGUUGGCGGGGUAAAGGCCCACCAAGGCGACGAUCCGUAGCUGGUCUGAGAGGAUGAUCAGCCACACUGGAACUGAGACACGGUCCAGACUCCUACGAGAGGCAGCAGUGGGGAAUAUUGGACAAUGGGCGAAAGCCUGAUCCAGCCAUACCGCGUGGGUGAAGAAGGCCUUCGGGUUGUAAAGCCCUUUUGUUGGGAAAGAAAAGCAGCAGGUUAAUACCCCGCUGUUCUGACGGUACCCAAAGAAUAAGCACCGGCUAACUUCGUG
rnacentral:rRNA from 1 species